UAAAUGCACCCAAUAGCAAUCAUUUAAGCAUACACUUAGAAUGACCCUGCAUGGCAGACACACCUGAAUGUGUGUUCUGAGCUAGGGAAUCUGGGAGUGGCCAACCCAGAGAUUCAUUCCUUAUCCAUGAUGAACAUCUGAGCCUACAGCUUACCCCAUGGAACACGGGCUGUAUAGGGAAUUGAAGCCCUGAGUUUUGGGUUAAAUGAAGCUUGCCAGGUGGAGGUCAUUACGCAGAGGGUGUUAAAUUAAAAUGCUAUAUAAACUACAUGUUAUUUGCAGGUGGCUGUGGUUUUCCUGCCCAGCCCACUACCACUGGGCCGUAGAUGAGAUGGAUAUCUUGUCCAGCCCGCUGCCACUGGACCAUUUCUGCAGCAGUUGCAUCUGUUACACAGUAAAGGAGUCCUAGAGAAGUGCUGCCAAGGGGAACUCAUAAAAAAGCCGCUGCUGGAGACUCAGAUGUGCCCUGCUGAGCGAGGCAGUCUCCUCCUACUUACCGUGCUGCAGUGAGCCGCAGUCACCCGCGGGGGAGUUGAAGAAUAAGUUGAAUAUGGUUGAACACGGUGGCAUCAUACUGCUCAGCCAUCUCUGGGGUUAACUGCAGAUGAGAUAAUUCCUGUAUAACUCCUGGAUCCUCUAGGGCAUUCUGCCACUGUAUCCACACUUCAUGGUACAAGGGCGAAUGGACAGAUCUCCAGCUUCCAAGUGAAACGUGAAGGCGACUCGACAAGGAUUUCUGUUAGGACAAUAGUUUUGCUUCAUGAAGACCAGGAAGGCUUGAACUCAGGACAAUGGGUAUCUUGAAUUUACUCAGUUCCCAUCUCUUAAGUUAUUAAACAUUAUUUCCCACCUGUCUUGUGUAUUUUUGCUUGAUCCCUAUAAUAUGGGGGCAGGCAUAAUUUUGUAUAACCCCUGUAAGACGUGUGCCAGGUACAAUUGGCCCUAUUUCCUAUGUGGGGAAACUGAGACUCAGAGCAGAGAAGCGACUCUCCUAAGUCACACGUUGUAUUGCUGGCAGAGUCUCGGGCAGGAGUCGUGCCUCCUGAUUUCCAGGUACAUGCUGCUUUUGCUAGAACCAAUCUAUUAAAGAACCAAGACUCUUUUAUUUGGAAUUAAUGAGGGAUUCCAAAAAUAGUGUUAGCAGUGCUUAACAAAUUUGAAAGAGCAAAGGAACUGAAGCCAGAGAAGACUGAGAUAGGGGAGCUGUUUCAUUGUAUCAAUUUCUAUUCACUUUGUUAAUAAUUGAUGCCACAUUUACUCAUUGUUAUAUAUUAAAAAUACUUGAUUUGCUACAAGGUAAAAAUGACCCAUUGACUUUGUCUCUCAACCUACGCUAACCCUAAAUGAGAAUCUCAUUGUGACCACGAUUUUGCAAAAUUGAUUAAAUGGAAAUAAAUGCAUUCAAGUGUCAAAGGCUGCAUUGGGAAUGGUUGCUAAUGAGCUUGACCUUUCAGAGCUUCCUGGCUGGGUGCACAGUAGGUGUUCAAUGAGUACUGAUGGAUGUCUUGACUGACUGAGAUUUCGGUUAGCCUUCCAUCCCCGGGAGCAUGGUGCCUCUAAUGUGUUAGAUGGCAUCAUGUUCCAAAAAUGAAUCGAUCUAUAAAUUUGAAGACUAAUUUGGAAACAUUUUAACCUUACUAAACAGAAUAGUAUGAUAAAACCUAGGUACCCUACGCCAGCUUCAAAUCAAUAUUCUGCUGUUUUUGUUUACUUCCCUUAACACACAUCACUGCCUCCCCACCCCCAACACACACACACUUUUUUGUUUUUGAGACAGAGUCUCGCUCUGUCACCGAGGCUGGGGUGUAGUGGCGCCAUCUCGGCUCACUGCAAGCUCCGCCUCCUGGGUUCAUGCCAUUCUCCUGUCUCGGCCUCCCAGUCUCCAGAGUAGCUGGGACUUCAGGUGUCCACUUUUUUUUUUUUUUUUUGGCUGAAGUACCAUAAAGGAAAUUUCAAACAUUGUGUCAUUCACCUGUGAAUAAAUCUGUAUGUACCUCCAAUAGAUAGACUAAAAAAACCACAACCUUAUCACCACAACACAAUUAGCCAUUGUUUCUUAAUAUCAUAGGAGGCCUCUUCCAUGCUGAAUGCUCCAUGGGUUCUUAAAGUCGUGUUCUUUUGAUGAGAUUCUUCACAUAAGAUUUUACAGUUGGCCGGGCGCGGUGGCUCACGCCUGUAAUCCCAGCACUUUGGGAGGCCGAGGCGGGUGGAUCAUGAGGUCAGGAGAUCGAGACCAUCCUGGCUAACAAGGUGAAACCCCGUCUCUACUAAAAAUACAAAAAAAAAAUUAGCCGGGCGCGGUGGCGGGCGCCUGUAGUCCCAGCUACUGGGGAGGCUGAGGCAGGAGAAUGGCGUGAACCCGGGAAGCGG
rnacentral:lncRNA from 1 species